GCGGAAAGCGGCGGACGGGUGAGUAACGCGUAGGCAACCUGCCCUUCACAGAGGUAUAGCCUCGGGAAACCGGGAUUAAAACCACAUAAAAUCAUAGGUUCGCAUGAACCAAAGGUCAAAGAUUUAUCGGUGAAGGAUGGGCCUGCGUCUGAUUAGCUGGUUGGUAGGGUAAAAGCCUACCAAGGCGACGAUCAGUAGCCGACCUGAGAGGGUGAUCGGCCACAUUGGAACUGAGACACGGUCCAAACUCC
rnacentral:rRNA from 1 species